rnacentral:rRNA from 1 species
UAUUGGUCAAUGGUCGGGAGACUGAACCAGCCAAGCCGCGUGAGGGAGGAAGGUACAGAGGAUCGUAAACCUCUUUUGUCAGGGAACAAAGGCGGGGACGUGUCCCCGGCUGAGUGUACCUGAAGAAAAAGCAUCGGCUAACUCCGUUCCAGCAGCCGCGGUAAUACGGAGGGUGCGAGCGUUAUCCGGUUUUAUUGGGUUUAAAGGGUGCGCAGGCGGUCUGUUAAGCAAGCGGUCAAGGCCCGGGGCUCAACCCGGGCCCGCCGUUGAAACUGGCAGUCUCGAGUUGGAGAGAAGUAUGCGGAAUGCGCGGUGUAGCGGUGAAAUGCAUAGAUAUCGCGCAGAACUCCGAUUGCGAAGGCAGCAUGCCGGCUCCACACUGACGCUGAGGCACGAAAGCGUGGGUAUCG